rnacentral:piRNA from 1 species
UGAUUCCUUUUGAAGAAUGGAACUAUGG